UAACUGAAGAGUUUGAUCAUGGCUCAGAUUGAACGCUGGCGGCAGGCUUAACACAUGCAAGUCGAGCGGGGAAGGUAGCUUGCUACUGGACCUAGCGGCGGACGGGUGAGUAAUGCUUAGGAAUCUGCCUAUUAGUGGGGGACAACAUCUCGAAAGGGAUGCUAAUACCGCAUACGUCCUACGGGAGAAAGCAGGGGAUCUUCGGACCUUGCGCUAAUAGAUGAGCCUAAGUCGGAUUAGCUAGUUGGUGGGGUAAAGGCCUACCAAGGCGACGAUCUGUAGCGGGUCUGAGAGGAUGAUCCGCCACACUGGGACUGAGACACGGCCCAGACUCCUACGGGAGGCAGCAGUGGGGAAUAUUGGACAAUGGGCGCAAGCCUGAUCCAGCCAUGCCGCGUGUGUGAAGAAGGCCUUAUGGUUGUAAAGCACUUUAAGCGAGGAGGAGGCUACUUUAGAUAAUACCUAGAGAUAGUGGACGUUACUCGCAGAAUAAGCACCGGCUAACUCUGUGCCAGCAGCCGCGGUAAUACAGAGGGUGCAAGCGUUAAUCGGAUUUACUGGGCGUAAAGCGCGCGUAGGCGGCUAAUUAAGUCAAAUGUGAAAUCCCCGAGCUUAACUUGGGAAUUGCAUUCGAUACUGGUUAGCUAGAGUGUGGGAGAGAUGGAUGGUAGAAUUCCAGGUGUAGCGGUGAAAUGCGUAGAGAUCUGGAGGAAUACCGAUGGCGAAGGCAGCCAUCUGGCCUAACACUGACGCUGAGGUGCGAAAGCAUGGGGAGCAAACAGGAUUAGAUACCCUGGUAGUCCAUGCCGUAAACGAUGUCUACUAGCCGUUGGGGCCUUUGAGGCUUUAGUGGCGCAGCUAACGCGAUAAGUAGACCGCCUGGGGAGUACGGUCGCAAGACUAAAACUCAAAUGAAUUGACGGGGGCCGCACAAGCGGUGGAGCAUGUGGUUUAAUUCGAUGCAACGCGAAGAACCUUACCUGGCCUUGACAUAGUAAGAACUUUCCAGAGAUGGAUUGGUGCCUUCGGGAACUUACAUACAGGUGCUGCAUGGCUGUCGUCAGCUCGUGUCGUGAGAUGUUGGGUUAAGUCCCGCAACGAGCGCAACCCUUUUCCUUAUUUGCCAGCGAGUAAUGUCGGGAACUUUAAGGAUACUGCCAGUGACAAACUGGAGGAAGGCGGGGACGACGUCAAGUCAUCAUGGCCCUUACGGCCAGGGCUACACACGUGCUACAAUGGUCGGUACAAAGGGUUGCUACACAGCGAUGUGAUGCUAAUCUCAAAAAGCCGAUCGUAGUCCGGAUUGGAGUCUGCAACUCGACUCCAUGAAGUCGGAAUCGCUAGUAAUCGCGGAUCAGAAUGCCGCGGUGAAUACGUUCCCGGGCCUUGUACACACCGCCCGUCACACCAUGGGAGUUUGUUGCACCAGAAGUAGCUAGCCUAACUGCAAAGAGGGCGGUUACCACGGUGUGGCCGAUGACUGGGGUGAAGUCGUAACAAGGUAGCCGUAGGGGAACCUGCGGCUGGAUCACCUCCUUA
rnacentral:rRNA from 1 species